UACGUAGGGUGCAAGCAUUAAUCGGAAUUAUUGGGCGUAAAGGGCGCGUAGGCGGAUGGAUAAGUCAGAUGUGAAAUACCAAAGCUCAACUUUGGUGCUGCAUUUGAAACUGUUUGUCUAGAGGAUUGACGGAGAAAGCGGAAUUCCACGAGUAGCGGUGAAAUGCGUAGAUACGUGGAGGAACACCGGUGGCGAAAGCGGCUUUCUAGUUUUUACCUGACGCUGAGGCGCGAGAGCAAGGGGAGCAAACAGG
rnacentral:rRNA from 1 species